rnacentral:rRNA from 1 species
GUUAGGAAUAUUGGACAAUGGGCGCAAGCCUGAUCCAGCCAUGCCGCGUGAGUGAUGAAGGCCUUCGGGUUGUAAAGCUCUUUAGCCGAUGAUUAUAAUGACUGUAGUCGGAAAAUAAGCCCCGGCUAACUUCGUGUCAGCAGCCGCGGUAAUACGAAGGGGGCGAGCGUUAUUCGGAAUCACUGGGCGUAAAGCGUGCGUAGGCGGCUUUGCAAGUUGGGAGUGAAAGCCCAGGGCUCAACCCUGGAAUUGCUCUCAAAACUGCAAGGCUCGAAUUCGGGAGAGGAUAGAGGAAUUGUCAGUGUAGCAGUGAAAUGCGUAGAUAUUGACAGGAACACCAGUGGCGUAAGCGGCUAUCUGGACCGAUAUUGACGCUGAGGCACGAAAGCGUGAGGAUCAAACAGGAUUAGAAACCCUUGUAGUCC